rnacentral:rRNA from 1 species
CACGUGGGUGGCAAGCGUUAUCCGGAUUUAUUGGGCGUAAAGGGAGCGCAGGCGGUCUUUUAAGUCUGAUGUGAAAGCCUUCGGCUUAACCGGAGUAGUGCAUUGGAAACUGGGAGACUUGAGUGCAGAAGAGGAGAGUGGAACUCCAUGUGUAGCGGUGAAAUGCGUAGAUAUAUGGAAGAACACCAGUGGCGAAAGCGGCUCUCUGGUCUGUAACUGACGCUGAGGUUCGAAAGCGUGGGUAGCAAACAGG